GGGGGCAGGCGAAGCACAGGUGAAGCUGUUUCUGGUUUAAGGACUCCAGCUGUUGGGCUGAGCUUUUUUUUGGGCACUGGAUAUUGAACUCAGGGGCCCUCAACCACUGAGCCGCAUCUCCAGCCCUGUUUUGUGUUUUACUUAGAGACAGGGUCUCACUGAGUUGCUUAGCGCCUGGCCGUUGCUGAAGCUGGUCUUUGAACAACUCACGAUCCUCUGUCUCAGCCUCCUGAGCCACUGAGAUUGCCCGUGUGUGCCACGCACCCAGCUAAUAUUUAAUUUUUAAUUUUAAUUGUGCAAAUAAAUAGAAAUGGAAAACUACAUUCAAAUCAGCUGUGAAGGAAGGGCAAGUCCUGAACAGAACUCUAUGAAAACCCAGAAGAGCCGCUCCCUGGAGGCAUGAAGGAAGUGGGACACCACGGGGAGGGGAUCUCGGCCUCCAGAGAAGCCCAGGCCCACAGGUCUCCCCUCCAGCCACAGAAGCUGUCUAGAUGCCUUCCACGCUGCUGCUGCUGCCGCCACCACCUAGUGAAUGCAGGAGAGCAGUCCCCUGAGUCCUGUGAGGGCCCUGCCCACGCCUUGUCAACCACACAAGUUGAUCUGAGGACCAGAGUCUCAUGGAGCAGCUGGAGGUGGCAGAUGGCACCUGGCAGCAGCCCACAGGUCCCUGGAGCUGGACCCACAGCACACACUCACCUGUUUCCACAUCGUUGGCAUUGGCAGAGUCCCUCAGUCUCUUCAAAGCUGUGACGAGAAUAAGAAAUGCCCAUUAAAAAAAAAAAGUCAUGACUUACAAGGAGGGCUUACUAGUUCUAUUCCUCCUUAAUUCACCCUUUAACCACCACAGUAUCUAAAGGAAACAGCCAGGCACAGUGGCGCAUGCCUGUAAUUCCAGAAGCUCAGGAGGCUAAGGCAGGAGGAUCUCGAGUUCAAAGCCAGCCUCAGCAAU